UCUAAGGUGAGUGUCCUGGCAGGUU
rnacentral:piRNA from 1 species